rnacentral:tRNA from 1 species
GGGCGAUUAACUCAGCGGUAAGAGUGCUACCUUCACACGGUAGAAGUCACAGGUUCGAAUCCCGUAUCGCCCACCA